GCACUCGGAAGCCGAGAUCAAGAAGAGAGGCCAACUCCGAAUUGGUUGGAAGAAAGCUGGUCACCUCGGAAAGAGGGAAACGAAAAAUCCUAUACAUAACUCUGCUCCCGCCUGACCAGCUUUUGCAGAGAGAAGGUCAAGUCAAGUCAAUGGCAGUGGAAGAAAGCAAUCUGCAAACCAUCCUAUGAGCCUGGCCGUAACACCUAUCCUUUCCUGGAACAAGCGCUUUAUACCUGUAAGUCUGGCCGACCUCUCAACUCUAAAACAGUCUACCUGGGGUUUUUUUGUUUUUUGUUUUUUGUUUUUUUUUGAGAAGGAGCUUUUAUGUUGCUGCAUAUUUUGUUCCUUAAAAAGUAUUUAUACAUAAAAAACAUAUAUAUACAUAUAUAUUACAUGUUUUUAUAUAUAUCAUAUAUAUGUAUACCUUAUAUAUAAACAUGUAAACAAAUAUAUAUACAUAUACAAACAUAAAAUCUGGAGUUUGUAUUGGCACCCAGCCAGUCCUUUCACUAACCAUGGGCACAUCUUGUCCUUUUACAGCUCCUCUGGUGUCUCUCUGUUGAUGGGCCCCAUCAGUUUUUAACAGUUUUCUACCAGGACAGUGUACAUGGAAACAAAAUAGCCACUUGCAGCAACUUUUACAGCAGUAAUACUUCUUGGGUCAAGACUAGCUUUCUUAGUGUUUCUGGGUGGACAAAACUUAAUGCAAGUGACAACUCUCUGGACUGGAUGUCUGUUCCCUGAUGUCGUGCAUGGCUCUGUGCCAAGUCAGCAUUCUUCAGUAACUCCCUCAUUCAUUCAACAAAUAUGUGUUGAUCGUCAAUGUGUCAGACUUGCCUAAAAUACCUUUUUUUUUUUUUUUUUUUUUUAAAAAAAANAAACAAAGCACCUUUGCCCCCUCCUCUCCUCCAGAGCCGCCUCCUUGGAGCUGCCUUAUUUGUGAAGAACUGCUCACAGCAUUUAUCACACUGUAUUUCACCUACUCACUGCCGGCCUCCUUCACCAGGCUGUGAGUACCUUCAUGGCAGGAUUCAGUCCUGAUCAUUUUUUAAUUCCCAGUUCCAAACACUGGCACAUAGUAGACAGCCAAUAAAUGUUAAUUCGCAUUUUAUGUGAUGGAUCCUGGGUUGGACAUGGGGAUAAAAAGAUGAUUAAGACAAGGACCUUGCCUCAAGGAGCUCACAGCCAUUCCCUCCCAGUUAACCUUACAUAAGGCUGGGAAGCAUCCAUGCCCUUUCUUCUGUGGCUUGUUCUUUCUAGCCCUGCAUUAAAUAUUAAGCAAGCUAAGCACGUGCCUAAUUGCCCAAUGGAAAGGGGCACCUUGGAGUUUUCCCCUAGCUCAUGUCCUUAACUCUUUCACUACUACUCUCGACACGAUUGGAAUUUUUUUUUUUUUUGUAAUUCUCAUUAUCUGCUUAUGUUCGAUUUUAAUUGGCAUUGUUUAACAACGAAAUUUAUUUAGGGAGUUCCCUGGUGGUUUAGUGGUUGGGAUUCAGCCAUUUCACCGCUGUAGCCCUGGUUUAGGAACUGAGGUCCCACUUCAAGCAGCUGUAGGCUGCAGCUAAAAAAAAAAAAAAAAAAAAAAAAAA
rnacentral:lncRNA from 1 species